CAGGGUUGCCUGAAAGCGGCUAACCUCGGCAGAAUUGUCAGGCUGGUCCUGGGCCUCGGGCGUGUUCAGGGCCUCAUGCAUGAAGUCGGUCAUCAGGCGUAUUCACCGCUCGUCCACAUGCCCGUUCUGCAGCUGUGUCGCUAGACUGACCGUUAGGCGGCGGAGCGGCACAGCGUCCGUCGCCCCAGGGAGGCGCCACCCCAGGCGCCCGAUGAUCAUAGCCAUCACUUGUGCGCAGUCUGGCAGUGUCGCUGCUGGUGAUGGUGGCUGCUGCUGNG
rnacentral:lncRNA from 1 species